rnacentral:rRNA from 1 species
AUUGAACGCUGGCGGCAGGCCUAACACAUGCAAGUCGAGCGGUAACAGGGGUAGCUUGCUACCCGCUGACGAGCGGCGGACGGGUGAGUAAUGCAUAGGAAUCUGCCCGAUAGUGGGGGAUAACCUGGGGAAACCCAGGCUAAUACCGCAUACGUCCUACGGGAGAAAGGGGGCUNCGGCUCCCGCUAUUGGAUGAGCCUAUGUCGGAUUAGCUAGUUGGUAAGGUAAUGGCUUACCAAGGCAACGAUCCGUAGCUGGUCUGAGAGGAUGAUCAGCCACAUCGGGACUGAGACACGGCCCGAACUCCUACGGGAGGCAGCAGUGGGGAAUAUUGGACAAUGGGGGCAACCCUGAUCCAGCCAUGCCGCGUGUGUGAAGAAGGCCCUCGGGUUGUAAAGCACUUUCAGCGAGGAAGAACGCCUAUCGGUUAAUACCCGGUAGGAAAGACAUCACUCGCAGAAGAAGCACCGGCUAACUCCGUGCCAGCAGCCGCGGUAAUACGGAGGGUGCAAGCGUUAAUCGGAAUUACUGGGCGUAAAGCGCGCGUAGGUGGCUUGAUAAGCCGGUUGUGAAAGCCCCGGGCUCAACCUGGGAACGGCAUCCGGAACUGUCAGGCUAGAGUGCAGGAGAGGAAGGUAGAAUUCCCGGUGUAGCGGUGAAAUGCGUAGAGAUCGGGAGGAAUACCAGUGGCGAAGGCGGCCUUCUGGACUGACACUGACACUGAGGUGCGAAAGCGUGGGUAGCAAACAGGAUUAGAUACCCUGGUAGUCCACGCCGUAAACGAUGUCGACCAGCCGUUGGGUGCCUAGAGCACUUUGUGGCGAAGUUAACGCGAUAAGUCGACCGCCUGGGGAGUACGGCCGCAAGGUUAAAACUCAAAUGAAUUGACGGGGGCCCGCACAAGCGGUGGAGCAUGUGGUUUAAUUCGAUGCAACGCGAAGAACCUUACCUACCCUUGACAUCUACAGAAGCCGGAAGAGAUUCUGGUGUGCCUUCGGGAACUGUAAGACAGGUGCUGCAUGGCUGUCGUCAGCUCGUGUUGUGAAAUGUUGGGUUAAGUCCCGUAACGAGCGCAACCCUUGUCCUUAUUUGCCA